rnacentral:rRNA from 1 species
UACGUAGGGGGCAAGCGUUGUCCGGAUUUAUUGGGCGUAAAGAGCGUGUAGGCGGCUGGGUAGGUCCGUUGUGAAAACUCGAGGCUCAACCUCGAGACGCCGAUGGAAACCCUCCAGCUAGAGUCCGGAAGAGGAGAGUGGAAUUCCUGGUGCAGCGGUGAAAUGCGCAGAUAUCAGGAAGAACACCCGUGGCUAAGGCGGCUCUCUAGUACGGUACUGACGCUGAGACGCGAAAGCGUGGGGAGCGAACAGG